ACUCCUNCNGNAGGCAGCANCAGGGAAUAUUGCACAAUGGGNGCAAGCCUGAUGCAGCGACGCCGCGUGAGGGAUGAAGGCUUUCCAGUUGUAAACCUCUUUCAGUGGGGAAGAAGCGCAAGUGACGGUACCCACACAAGAAGNCCCGGCCAACUAC
rnacentral:rRNA from 1 species